GACAGCAGUAGCCGCGGUAAUACGUAGGGUGCGAGCGUUAAUCGGAAUUACUGGGCGUAAAGCGUGCGCAGGCGGUUGUGUAAGACAGGUGUGAAAUCCCCGGGCUUAACCUGGGAACUGCGCUUGUGACUGCACAGCUAGAGUAUGGCAGAGGGGGGUGGAAUUCCACGUGUAGCAGUGAAAUGCGUAGAGAUGUGGAGGAACACCGAUGGCGGAGGCAGCCCCCUGGGCCAAUACUGACGCUCAUGCACGAAAGCGUGGGGAGCAAACAGGAUUAGAUACCCCCGUAGUCCCUGUCUCUUAUAC
rnacentral:rRNA from 1 species